GGAGAUGUGGCUCAGUGUUAGAGCACUUGCCUAGCAUGCACAAGGCCCUGGGUUCAUUCCCUAGUAUCACCA
rnacentral:tRNA from 1 species